UCAGUGGUAGCUUAGUGGUUAAACUGUUGGUCUACUGAUCAUGAGAUCAUGAGUUCAAAUCCCAGCACUACUAAC